GCCCAAAUUAUUUAGGGUUUGUCCAAUUUGAGCAGGUGGAUUUAGAGAGUCAGACGUAGUGGUUCUUCACAUCUCACCGACCCAGAUGGUCGUCUUUGUAACGUCACUUGGAAACAUUAAUCCAAGCAUUAACGUUUUCUGCACGACUCCUCCCACUUUCUCGAAUUAAAUCGACCAUAGCAUCCUCUGAAGUAAUGCCCUGAAGCUUCGCAUAUAAAUGGCUUUGUUGCUUGGGAUGAACAGUCCUAUCAAAACAAAAUCCCAAAGGUCUACCUCUGUCAAGCAUCAAAUCCAUCAAUGGUGAAUUCAUCUAUUAUUCUUGCUGAUUUAAAAGCUGGAAGCUGUUCAAACACCGUCAAGGUCCGUCUCAUCAGAUUCGGAGAGGCAAGAAUUGUUAAGAACGGUGGUCACCUCAGGGGUGUCCACAUGCUUCUCCUUAACGAGAAGGUGGGAUGUAUGGUAUUGAUGUCGCUGGAAGCACGUUUCACUACGAAGGUUUAUCGAGGUCACGGAAAAAGUGACCAUCCCAGCAGAGAAGUUUCGUUUUCAAAAGUAUAAUCAACUCAUGGCUUUGGCUAACACCAACUUCGAUUUGGCUGACAUCAUGGGCGAAGUUAGUUGUAUCAACACUGUUUUCGAUAAUGAAAACCAUUUCAUUCAUCAUAACAAUCCAAUUAGACAGGAAAGACGCAUCUCUUUCUCUCUGCAAAUAAAAACUGGGUUAGAACCAGCGACUAUAGCUUCUUUGUGCUUACUGAUAAGUUUGAAGUUUCACUCAUUUAUGAGACUAAACCUGUGAUUCAGUUACAUAUAAUGGAAAUAUUUCAGAACAAACUCAGGAUGACUUCAAUGCUUGGUUAGAUAUCUCCACUCUAAAUCAAAUAAGAAAAAUUGCAACUCUGGAGAUGCAAAUGAAUGUAAAUCGAUGGAAGCUAUAAUCAGAAAAUAGAAACUUGAUUUUGGGAAGUUUUCUCUUUGAAAAUAUAUGCGAGGUAUAUUAUACUCUCUAUUUUGUGAAGCCUGCUCUAGGGCUUAGCUUAUUAUACGUUUUGUGUUCUGAAAGUAUUAUAUAAUUUUGGGGUUCCCGGAUCUUUUCUGCUUGUAAUUCAUGCCAUCAUGGAGAAGAGAAAAGCAUACUCAUCUGGUUAUUGAUCUUGCGCUGACUAAUAGAUUUCUGGUUGAAGGUGUAAUCAAAGUUUUCAGGAUGCCAUGAUGUAUAUCGAUCCAUAGGUACCUGCACGGCCUGCACUGCAGUUUUUUGGAGUCAAUGGUUCGUGAGCCUCCAGUUUAUGAGGUUCCAGAGUGUCCCCCGGUGACAAGGAGGUAUUCGAUAUAAGAAGCUCAAUCGGGCGAUUUCAUUGAGUUUUUUUUUCCCUUGAAAAAACAUAUUAUAUAGUUGGAUGUGUAACUGAUGAUUUUUGCAAUUGUUUCUAGACGAGAUCAUGAUGAGGCAUUUUGAGAUAAUGCAAUUGUAAAUAGUUUUUAAUCAAUGUUUUAGAUUGUUUCCAUA